CCGUGUGGAAUCUUGCAACGAUCAAGUGAAAAAUGGACAUAAGUCUCCUUUUUUUCAAUGCCGUCGUAACUUUGUUGAACUGCUGUUUGUGAGUUGGGGACUGGCUGGAAUUGUGUACCAGCCUCUGAUGCGGAGGUUGGUCUUUUCCUUGCAGAAGAUGAGGAGGAGGAAGAAGAGGAGGAAGAAGAUGAAGAAUUAGAUGACGAAGAUGACCUGGACGGCGAGGAUGAUGAGAACGGGGGUGAUGAUGAGGACGAAGAUGAUGAGGAUGACGGAGACGAGGACGAGGAUGAGGAUGAAGAAGCUGAGGUCAAGCAGGGCGAGAAGCGGAAACGAGACCCCGAGGAAGAACCGGACGAAGACGAGGAUGAAGACAACGAGGACUGAGGCCUCUCUCGCCCCCUCCUUCCUCCUCCUCGGCUCCUUUGCAGGCCGAUCCGUGUUUUUGGCGGACUCUUGACACUUUCCCCAGCCUUCAAAACCGUUGCCCCUCCCCCCUUUGUGAGGACUGUGACAAAUCCCCUUCUCGCCCCCCCUUCUGCUGAUACACAGCCCCCCCCCCCCGGCUUUUUUGUAUGGCUGCGAACACCCACAGUAUAUAUUUUUUUAACAGAUGUAGAAAAAGGAGAGGUGUUUCAAAGAGAGAAAGUUGGGUAUUUUUAUUUGGUGGCUUUUUGGGGGGGGUUAGCUUUCUCUUUCCCGUCCCCCUUCCUUCCUCCCCCCCCCAAAGAUAUGAGGUAUUUGCAACCAAAGGCUCC
rnacentral:lncRNA from 1 species